rnacentral:tRNA from 2 species
UCCCGUGUAGCUCAGCCGGUAGAGCAGGUGGCUGUUAACCACCGGGUCGGGGGUUCGAGUCCCUCCGCGGGAGCCA